GCGACCUUGGAAUCUUCCAAUGACACUGUCUUGGUCAUGAUACCCAAGGUAAACUCCCCGGAGCUGCUAACUCAGUUCCGUCCUAUCAGUCUUUGCAACGUUCUAUAUGAGGUGGCAGCCAAGGUACUUACUAUUAGACUCAAGGGCAUCCUCCCGGUGAUGAUCUCCGAGGAACAAAGUGCUUUUGUACCGGGGAGACUGAUAACUGAUAACGUAUUGGUGGCUUACGAGUGUGUGCAUGCUAUCCGUAAGCGCAAAAUGAAGAAGCCUCUUUGUGCUGUUAAACUUGAUAUGAUGAAGGCGUAUGACCGUGUUGAAUGGAUUUUCUUGGAGCAGGUCAUGCAUCGCCUUGGCUUUGCUCAGCUUUGGGUUGACAUGGUUAUGCGUUGUGUUCGAACAACCAGAUUCUCC
rnacentral:rRNA from 1 species